GACAUUCUAACUUUUCUCGCGUUGAGUGAUAUUGGAAACAAAAUUUCAUGUCGUGUAACUUUAGUUUGUUUGAUAAACGUUUGUGUCCAGGGAGAGUGAAGGAGAGGGAAUGAUGCUGGUAAUGAUAGUGGAGGAGACGACACUCAUAACCUGGGGAAGAUGACAGAGAUCAUGAGCGGCGGCGUGGCUCGUUGUGGUGACAUAAAUUGGUUGCUGGUUGAUAGUGUGGUGGCGAUGAUGGUGGUGGUAUCAGUAGAGGCACCAAUACUGGCUGCAGGAAUCGCCGAAGAAUGUGAGAAAUGUGUACGAAAAUAAGCGAAACACGUGAUGGCAGCACAGUGUAGGAUUUCAGGUGGUGGUAGCAGUGACGUCGUAAGAGGCACUGCAGCAACUCGGUGAGGGACAAGGAACCUUCUUUUUCAUUUUUAUUUUUAGAAGCAAUGUAGCUAUCAGUUGAGGUGUUCGUGCAGCAAUGGCAGCAGGGGCGCCGAGCCACUUCACGCCUGCUGGAAAGGAAUAAGAACAAAAGUGCAAUUUCAGGAAAGACAGUUUUGCCUCAGUUAUGUCACUUGUUACUCCACCACAUCCACUCCUGACCCUCCGCUACUCUUCCGUCCAUCUCGCCGGGGCAGUCCAGCGGGGCACGACCUCUAUGGCUCAUCCACUACAGGAAGGAAGCUGCUGUAGCUGUCCAGCCAGGGGACAGGAAGGCUGCGGGAGGUGAAGACAAGCAGUUCGUGCUUCAGCUAACGGAUGAAAAUAGGAAGAGAUGCAAGAAUGUACCGAGAUGUGAAAGAGAAACCAUCGGUUAAAGCUCCGGAAACACCCCAUGAGGUUUCUUUUUCGUGGAAGAAGUCAUCUCGGAGACACACUCUACCUUGAAGGAUCAGUUCGCCGUGAGCUGCUCUCCUCUUCGUCUUGAUUUUCUAAUAACUUCCUGAUUGGGCUCAGCAAUUCUACUAAAUUCAUCCACUACCACCCUGGUGAAUAACGAAUGGGAAGACCACCACUUCAUCCCUCCUCCCUGUGUGGAUGCCAGGGGACCAGCAUCAUUCCGCCAAAGAGUGAGUGAGCAUCAUGUUUUCUGAUGACCUGAUGAAUUUAGUACCAGAGAGACGUCUUACAUACGAUUCUUGUGAUCUGUGCACCGAAAGUGGGAUGCAGUCAACUCGACAAACAUUUUAAAUUCUUUUGUAUUCAUUUCAAACAAAUUAAAAAAAUCACUGGAUUACAAUUAUUUACCAAAUUUGGGAAUAAAUAUCCAAAGCUCCCACA